rnacentral:sRNA from 1 species
UUGGGUCACAGUGAAUCGUGACCUGGUGUGGUAGAUCUCGGUCCGCUCAUCGCCUCGGCUCCUCGUACUCUUUGCAACUCAGUACCUACCGGCUCGGAUAUUUCCGUCGCCGCAAUCAACUUUGUUUCAGGAGUUACACCAUGUCGAAUCGUCAGAACGGCACCGUAAAAUGGUUCAACGACGCCAAAGGCUUCGGCUUCAUCACCCCGGAAAGCGGUAACGACCUGUUCGUUCACUUCCGUUCCAUCCAGGGCACCGGCUUCAAGAGCCUGCAGGAAGGCCAGAAGGUUUCCUUCGUGGUCGUCAACGGCCAGAAAGGCCUGCAAGCCGACGAAGUACAAGUUGUCUAACUUGUAGUUCGCCAAAAAAAGCCCCGGCAUCGCCGGGGCUUUUUCG